AUGGCAAGAAAGCACCACUGAUGAACCAGAAAGCAGAUUCAAUCUGUCAGUGCCUUGGUCUUGGACAGCUCAGUCUUCAAAACUAUCUUGAAUCCAUCUGGAAUUCUUUGGUGAUACUAUGAAAGGAAGCUCACCAGAAAUGACUGGGGCCUGAGCUACACUUCUGCUUGAUCCUGGCAUAUAUAAGCCAUUCACCAUCUCAUCAAUGGCCAGGACUUGAAGUAGACCUUUGUUUAAUGCCCUCUGUAUGAAGAUAAGCAAGGGACACUUUAGAGCUGGCAUAGGUGUGGAUUCAUUGAGAUGGCUAUGACCUAUGUACCAAGAUUAGAGAAAGAAUGUGGUGGAGCUGAACUGUUGAAGACAGUCCUGGAAGACUCUCAUCUCUCUCCUUGUACAAAAUUCUUCUUGUGUCAUUGGGCCCUGGAUAUAUUUUCAAAGGAAGGAAAAUGAUAACCUUAAUGGGCUCUGAUAUGAGAGAUCUUGGAGACUAUACCAAAUGAACAGCAAGGAAAAGAAUCUCGAGCCAUUUAAAGAAUGAAAUUAAAGAACUCCA
rnacentral:lncRNA from 1 species